rnacentral:rRNA from 1 species
UACGAAGGGGGCUAGCGUUGCUCGGAAUCACUGGGCGUAAAGCGCACGUAGGCGGAUUGUUAAGUCAGGGGUGAAAUCCUGGAGCUCAACUCCAGAACUGCCUUUGAUACUGGCGAUCUCGAGUCCGGGAGAGGUGAGUGGAACUGCGAGUGUAGAGGUGAAAUUCGUAGAUAUUCGCAAGAACACCAGUGGCGAAGGCGGCUCACUGGCCCGGUACUGACGCUGAGGUGCGAAAGCGUG